AGCGUACACGGUGGAUGCCCUGGCAGUCAGAGGCGAUGAAGGACGUGCUAAUCUGCGAUAAGCGUCGGUAAGGUGAUAUGAACCGUUAUAACCGGCGAUUUCCGAAUGGGGAAACCCAGUGUGUUUCGACACACUAUCAUUAACUGAAUCCAUAGGUUAAUGAGGCGAACCGGGGGAACUGAAACAUCUAAGUACCCCGAGGAAAAGAAAUCAACCGAGAUUCCCCCAGUAGCGGCGAGCGAACGGGGAGCAGCCCAGAGCCUGAAUCAGUGUGUGUGUUAGUGGAAGCGUCUGGAAAGGCGCGCGAUACAGGGUGACAGCCCCGUACACAAAAAUGCACAUGCUGUGAGCUCGAUGAGUAGGGCGGGACACGUGGUAUCCUGUCUGAAUAUGGGGGGACCAUCCUCCAAGGCUAAAUACUCCUGACUGACCGAUAGUGAACCAGUACCGUGAGGGAAAGGCGAAAAGAACCCCGGCGAGGGGAGUGAAAAAGAACCUGAAACCGUGUACGUACAAGCAGUGGGAGCACGCUUAGGCGUGUGACUGCGUACCUUUUGUAUAAUGGGUCAGCGACUUAUAUUCUGUAGCAAGGUUAACCGAAUAGGGGAGCCGAAGGGAAACCGAGUCUUAACUGGGCGUUAAGUUGCAGGGUAUAGACCCGAAACCCGGUGAUCUAGCCAUGGGCAGGUUGAAGGUUGGGUAACACUAACUGGAGGACCGAACCGACUAAUGUUGAAAAAUUAGCGGAUGACUUGUGGCUGGGGGUGAAAGGCCAAUCAAACCGGGAGAUAGCUGGUUCUCCCCGAAAGCUAUUUAGGUAGCGCCUCGUGAAUUCAUCUCCGGGGGUAGAGCACUGUUUCGGCAAGGGGGUCAUCCCGACUUACCAACCCGAUGCAAACUGCGAAUACCGGAGAAUGUUAUCACGGGAGACACACGGCGGGUGCUAACGUCCGUCGUGAAGAGGGAAACAACCCAGACCGCCAGCUAAGGUCCCAAAGUCAUGGUUAAGUGGGAAACGAUGUGGGAAGGCCCAGACAGCCAGGAUGUUGGCUUAGAAGCAGCCAUCAUUUAAAGAAAGCGUAAUAGCUCACUGGUCGAGUCGGCCUGCGCGGAAGAUGUAACGGGGCUAAACCAUGCACCGAAGCUGCGGCAGCGACGCUGAUGCGUUGUUGGGUAGGGGAGCGUUCUGUAAGCCUGCGAAGGUGUGCUGUGAGGCAUGCUGGAGGUAUCAGAAGUGCGAAUGCUGACAUAAGUAACGAUAAAGCGGGUGAAAAGCCCGCUCGCCGGAAGACCAAGGGUUCCUGUCCAACGUUAAUCGGGGCAGGGUGAGUCGACCCCUAAGGCGAGGCCGAAAGGCGUAGUCGAUGGGAAACAGGUUAAUAUUCCUGUACUUGGUGUUACUGCGAAGGGGGGACGGAGAAGGCUAUGUUGGCCGGGCGACGGUUGUCCCGGUUUAAGCGUGUAGGCUGGUUUUCCAGGCAAAUCCGGAAAAUCAAGGCUGAGGCGUGAUGACGAGGCACUACGGUGCUGAAGCAACAAAUGCCCUGCUUCCAGGAAAAGCCUCUAAGCAUCAGGUAACAUCAAAUCGUACCCCAAACCGACACAGGUGGUCAGGUAGAGAAUACCAAGGCGCUUGAGAGAACUCGGGUGAAGGAACUAGGCAAAAUGGUGCCGUAACUUCGGGAGAAGGCACGCUGAUAUGUAGGUGAGGUCCCUCGCGGAUGGAGCUGAAAUCAGUCGAAGAUACCAGCUGGCUGCAACUGUUUAUUAAAAACACAGCACUGUGCAAACACGAAAGUGGACGUAUACGGUGUGACGCCUGCCCGGUGCCGGAAGGUUAAUUGAUGGGGUUAGCGCAAGCGAAGCUCUUGAUCGAAGCCCCGGUAAACGGCGGCCGUAACUAUAACGGUCCUAAGGUAGCGAAAUUCCUUGUCGGGUAAGUUCCGACCUGCACGAAUGGCGUAAUGAUGGCCAGGCUGUCUCCACCCGAGACUCAGUGAAAUUGAACUCGCUGUGAAGAUGCAGUGUACCCGCGGCAAGACGGAAAGACCCCGUGAACCUUUACUAUAGCUUGACACUGAACAUUGAGCCUUGAUGUGUAGGAUAGGUGGGAGGCUUAGAAGUGUGGACGCCAGUCUGCAUGGAGCCGACCUUGAAAUACCACCCUUUAAUGUUUGAUGUUCUAACGUGGACCCGUGAUCCGGGUUGCGGACAGUGUCUGGUGGGUAGUUUGACUGGGGCGGUCUCCUCCUAAAGAGUAACGGAGGAGCACGAAGGUUGGCUAAUCCUGGUCGGACAUCAGGAGGUUAGUGCAAUGGCAUAAGCCAGCUUGACUGCGAGCGUGACGGCGCGAGCAGGUGCGAAAGCAGGUCAUAGUGAUCCGGUGGUUCUGAAUGGAAGGGCCAUCGCUCAACGGAUAAAAGGUACUCCGGGGAUAACAGGCUGAUACCGCCCAAGAGUUCAUAUCGACGGCGGUGUUUGGCACCUCGAUGUCGGCUCAUCACAUCCUGGGGCUGAAGUAGGUCCCAAGGGUAUGGCUGUUCGCCAUUUAAAGUGGUACGCGAGCUGGGUUUAGAACGUCGUGAGACAGUUCGGUCCCUAUCUGCCGUGGGCGCUGGAGAACUGAGGGGGGCUGCUCCUAGUACGAGAGGACCGGAGUGGACGCAUCACUGGUGUUCGGGUUGUCAUGCCAAUGGCACUGCCCGGUAGCUAAAUGCGGAAGAGAUAAGUGCUGAAAGCAUCUAAGCACGAAACUUGCCCCGAGAUGAGUUCU
rnacentral:rRNA from 1 species